rnacentral:rRNA from 1 species
UACGAAGGGGGCUAGCGUUGCUCGGAAUCACUGGGCGUAAAGCGCACGUAGGCGGAUUGCUAAGUCAGGGGUGAAAUCCUGGAGCUCAACUCCAGAACUGCCUUUGAUACUGGCGAUCUCGAGUCCGGGAGAGGUGAGUGGAACUGCGAGUGUAGAGGUGAAAUUCGUAGAUAUUCGCAAGAACACCAGUGGCGAAGGCGACUUUCUGGCCUGUUCUUGACGCUGAGGCGCGAAAGCUAGGGGAGCAAACGGGG